rnacentral:rRNA from 1 species
CCUACGGGAGGCAGCAGUGAGGAAUAUUGGGCAAUGGACGAGAGUCUGACCCAGCAAAGUAGCGUGAAGGAUGAAUGCCCUAUGGGUUGUAAACUUUUUUUAUAUGGGAAUAAAAUGUUCCACGUGUGGGAUUUUGUAUGUACCAUAUGAAUAAGGAUCGGCUAACUCCGUGCCAGCAGCCGCGGUAAUACGGAGGAUCCGAGCGUUACCCGGAUUUAUUGGGUUUAAAGGGAGCGUAGGUGGAUUGUUAAGUCAGUUGUGAAAGUUUGCGGCUCAACCGUAAAAUUGCAGUUGAAACUGGCAUUCUUGAGUACAGUAGAGGUGGGCGGAAUUCGUGGUGUAGCGGUGAAAUGCUUAGAUAUCACGAAGAACUCCGAUUGCGAAGGCAGCUCACUGGACUGCAACUGACGCUGAGGCUCGAAAGUGUGGGUAUCAAACAGGAUUAGAUACCCUGGUAGUC